rnacentral:rRNA from 1 species
GAUGAACGCUGGCGGCGUGCCUAAUACAUGCAAGUCGAGCGAACGGACGAGAAGCUUGCUUCUCUGAUGUUAGCGGCGGACGGGUGAGUAACACGUGGAUAACCUACCUAUAAGACUGGGAUAACUUCGGGAAACCGUAGCUAAUACCGGAUAAUAUUUUGAACCGCAUGGUUCAAAAGUGAAAGACGGUCUUGCUGUCACUUAUAGAGGGAUCCGCGCUGCAUUAGCUAGUUGGUAAGGUAACGGCUUACCAAGGCAACGAUGCAUAGCCGACCUGAGAGGGUGAUCGGCCACACUGGAACUGGGACACGGUCCAGACUCCUAAGGGAGGCAGCAGUAGGGAAUUUUACGCAAUGGGCGAAAGCCUGACGGAGCAACGCCGCGUGAGUGAUGAAGGUCUUCGGAUCGUAAAACUCUGUUAUUAGGGAAGAACAUAUGUGUAAGUAACUGUGCACAUCUUGACGGUACCUAAUCAGAAAGCCACGGCUAACUACGUG